AUGACGCAGGAGGAGGAGGAGGAGGAGCAGGAGGUUUACAGGGAGGAAGGUCGGAUCGCGAGGUACCGCGGGCUGUGGGAGAGCCGCUUCGCCGGCAAAUUCGGCUCCUUCGACGACCAGACUAGUCUUGGUCCCAUGCGCUUCACAUCCGGACCCAUCCCGAGCUACGCGAGACCUCAUUGUACCAUGCAGAUCUUCAACAUCCGAGUGGCCGACCUCGAAGAAGGUGUCAAGUGGCCGCUGCAUGUACAUGGCCUGGUCGCCGCCAGGGAUACAUCGGAUCACAAUCGCAACUUCCUCUUCAACCGCACCGAGGAUAACUGCCAAAUCCUAACCCAAGAGGAUCCAUAUCUACUACUGACAGGCCCGUCGCGCGCGAUCGUGAUCAUCGACCCCAUCACGAUUGAGUUUCAGCUAAAGGUGAAGAGCAAGACGGACCCCGAAGAGGACGAGAUGCUGGCCUUCGGGAUCUUCAACUACCCCCAGACCUACCUUGCCACACAUGUGAUCCGCUCUGGUAUCCUCUGCGACCGGUGCACGAUCGAGCUUGCCUACGCGCCGCUGGACCCCUCGGUCGAGGCGACCGUCAUCGGUGUCCGGAUCAUCGAUGGUGUGUGGCCAGAGGGUCUCCGGGGGCGCGUCGUCGCCGAGGUCACAACGGUGAGGGAAGGAGAGGUUCUGCUGCUCGACUCCCGGGACGGGAAGAUGCCGAUCAGCCCUUCGACCGGCGCGGUCGAGCUCUCGAGGCGCGUCGUGUCGGUGGACCUCGAGGGGGGGAAGCUGGUUGUCUCUGUGGUGGCGUCCCCUCAGAUCGCUGGCAAAGAAGACGGCGAUGGAUGUGGUGGCGCUGCGGUCGUUGUUGCGCGAGGCGAGGCCGUGUUCGCGCCGGAGAGGGCCGGCACUCGCAAUCGCACCUGCGAUCUUGGCUUCUGCAAGGUGGAGGUUGCUGUUGCAUGGUCCCUUGUUUCGAGCUUGUGGAAUGAGCGGCGCGCCCUCGCGAAACUCGCGGAGGAGAGGGCAUGA
rnacentral:rRNA from 1 species